rnacentral:rRNA from 1 species
UAAAAUUUAGUUAAUGUUUUUUUUUUAGUAUUGCAUACUAGUAGAUGUAAUUAUUAUAGAUUAUAAAAAAUAGAAUAAAAUUAUUAAAUUUAGUUUUUUUUUUUUAUUACAAAAUUUAUUAUAACUAAUUUUGAUAUUGAUAAAAUGUAAUUUUUUUUUCUGUUUUUUGUUUUUGAUAGUUAAGUUAUUUUUUUUUAUUGUUUGAUUUAAAAAUUUUUUGUUUUUGUGUUUUAUUGUUGUGUUUAAACAUAAAUUUUUUGGGUUUUAAUUUUUUUAUUUUUAUAGUUAAUUUUUUAAUUAUUUUAUGAUUUUUAUUUUAGUAAGAAUUUUAUUUUUAAUUUUGUUAGGUUUAUAAUUUUUAUAUAGGAAUUAGGUUUUUUGCUAAAUGUUUAUUAAAAACUUAGGUUUUUUAUUAAAAUUGUCUUCUGCCCUAUGACUUUGUUUAAUGGCAGCCAUAGCGUGACGGCAUAAAAGUAGCGAAAGUGAUUUGUUUUUUUAUUGAUUUCGAGUAUGAAUGAAGUUUUUAGCAGAUUUUGUAUUUAUAUUUUUUUUGAAUUAUUUUUUUGGUUAAAAAUUAUUAUUUAAAUUACAACAAAGAUAAGUCUUCGGAAACUUUUUUUAGAAAUUUGUUAAAUUUUUUUUAUUUCUAUAUUUUUUUGGGGAUGAAUUUUAAGAAAUUUUUAUACUAUUAUUAUAUUUAGAAGUUACUUCGGAGUUAACAGGGCUAUGGAUGUUACUAACAGUUCUUAUGUUGUGCACCAUGCUACAUCGAUGUUGUAUAUUUUUUUUAAUUGGUAGGAGAAAUUAGUUGUUUUGAGACUGUUCUUCUUAUAUAAAAAUUAAACUUGAUAUUAGUUUAGUUCGUCGUGAGACAGAGCGGUUUAUCUUGUGUAAUUUUAUUUUUUAGUGGGGUUAGUACGAAAGGAAAAUUACAAAAGUUAAUAUUUAUGAUUUUUGUUUUUUGAUAAGUUUAGUGCUUUUGUUUAA